rnacentral:rRNA from 1 species
AUUGAACGCUGGCGGCAUGCUUUACACAUGCAAGUCGAACGGUAACAGGCCGCAAGGUGCUGACGAGUGGCGAACGGGCGAGUAAUGCAUCGGAACGUGCCCAGUCGUGGGGGAUAACGCAGCGAAAGCUGCGCUAAUACCGCAUACGAUCUCUGGAUGAAAGCGGGGGACCGAAAGGCCUCGCGCGAUUUGAGCGGCCGAUGUCAGAUUAGGUAGUUGGUGGGGUAAAGGCCCACCAAGCCACCGAUCUGUAGCUGGCCUGAGAGGACGACCAGCCACACUGGGACUGAGACACGGCCCAGACUCCUACGGGAGGCAGCAGUGGGGAAUUUUGGACAAUGGGCGCAAGCCUGAUCCAGCAAUGCCGCGUGCAGGAAGAAGGCCUUCGGGUUGUAAACUGCUUUUGUACGGAACGAAACGGUCCGGGUUAAUACCCUGGGCUAAUGACGGUACCGUAAGAAUAAGCACCGGCUAACUACGUGCCAGCCGCCGCGGUAAAAC